rnacentral:misc_RNA from 1 species
AAUGGCCUUUGAGACAGGCAUCAAAAUAGAUACUUUUCGAUGAGUAUUUCUGGCCUACUGAAUUAAAGUGACAUUUCAAAUCUGAAAGUUUUCGAUGAUGUUUCCAUUAUAGAUGGUCUUUGGGAAGGUAAGAGGGAUGAGAUGAGACGAAUAGGAGGUUCCUGAUGGGAAAUUUUCUGGUGUUACCUUUUCAUAUACAGUAGGGACUAUAUUUGUCAAGGAGAUACAUCAAGAACCAUUUUGAUCAUUUUUUCGAUAAUAAGCUAUGGCUGCCUAUGUCGUGCGGGUCUUUUGAGAGAGAAGGUAUUAAGCUUUGGUUUUGGUACCACGCGUUCUUAGGUUAGCUUAUGAAAAAUGGAGAACUCUUGAAGUGCAGGAUUAGAAAGCUGAAGAGCAAUGAAGGUUAAAA